rnacentral:rRNA from 1 species
GAUGAACGCUGGCGGCGUGCCUAAUACAUGCAAGUCGAGCGAACAGACGAGGAGCUUGCUCCUCUGACGUUAGCGGCGGACGGGUGAGUAACACGUGGAUAACCUACCUAUAAGACUGGGAUAACUUCGGGAAACCGGAGCUAAUACCGGAUAAUAUAUUGAACCGCAUGGUUCAAUAGUGAAAGACGGUUUUGCUGUCACUUAUAGAUGGAUCCGCGCCGCAUUAGCUAGUUGGUAAGGUAACGGCUUACCAAGGCAACGAUGCGUAGCCGACCUGAGAGGGUGAUCGGCCACACUGGAACGUAGACACGGUCCAGACUCCUACGGGAGGCAGCAGUAGGGAAUCUGCCGCAAUGGGCGAAAGCCUGACGGAGCAACGCCGCGUGAGUGAUGAAGGUCUUCGGAUCGGAAAACUCUGUUAUUAGGGAAGAACAAAUGUGUAAGUAACUAUGCACGUCUUGACGGUACCUAAUCAGAAAGCCACGGCUAACUACGUG